rnacentral:rRNA from 1 species
UACAGAGGGUGCGAGCGUUGUCCGGAAUCAUUGGGCGUAAAGGGCGCGUAGGUGGCGCUCCAAGUCUGUGGUGAAAGCUCGACGCUCAACGUCGAGUCGGCCAUAGAGACUGGAGGGCUCGAGCACUGUAGGGGCAGAUGGAAUUCCGGGUGUAGCGGUGGAAUGCGUAGAGAUCCGGAAGAACACCAGUGGCGAAGGCGGCUCACUGGACCGGGACUGACGCUGAGGCGCGAAAGCGUGGGGAGCAAACGGG